rnacentral:rRNA from 1 species
GGCCGGGCGCAGUCUACCAUGCAGUCGGACGGUAGCACAGAGGAGCUUGCUCCUUGGGUGACGAGUGGCGGACGGGUGAGUAGUGUCUGGGGAUCUGCCCGAUAGAGGGGGAUAACCACUGGAAACGGUGGCUAAUACCGCAUAACGUCGCAAGACCAAAGAGGGGGACCUUCGGGCCUCUCACUAUCGGAUGAACCCAGAUGGGAUUAUCUAGUAGGCGGGGUARUGGCCCACCUAGGCGACGAUCCCUAUCUGGUCUGAGAGGAUGACCAGCCACACUGGAACUGAGACACGGUCCAGACUCCUACGGGAGGCAGCAGUGGGGAAUAUUGCACAAUGGGCGCAAGCCUGAUGCASCCAUGCCGCGUGUAUGAAGAAGGCCUUCGGGUUGUAAAGUACUUUCAGCGGGGAGGAAGGCGACGGGGUUAAUAACCGUGUCGAUUGACGUUACCCGCAGAAGAAGCACCGGCUAACUCCGUGCCAGCAGCCGCGGUAAUACGGAGGGUGCAAGCGUUAAUCGGAAUUACUGGGCGUAAAGCGCACGCAGGCGGUCUGUUAAGUCAUAUGUGAAAUCCCCGGGCUUAACCUGGGAACUGCAUUUGAAACUGGCAGGCUUGAGUCUUGUAGAGGGGGGUAGAAUUCCAGGUGUAGCGGUGAAAUGCGUAGAGAUCUGGAGGAAUACCGGUGGCGAACGCGGCCCCCUGGACAAAGACUGACGCUCAGGUGCGAAAGCGUGGGGAGCAAACAGGAUUAUAUACCCUGGUAGUCCACGCCGUAAACGAUGUCGACUUGGAGGUUGUUCCCUUGAGGAGUGGCUUCCGGAGCUAACGCGUUAAGUCGACCGCGUGGGGAGUACGGCCGCAAGGAUAAAACUCAAAUGAAUUGACGGGGGCCCGCACAAGCGGUGGAGCAUGUGGUUUAAUUCUAUGCACGCGAAACCUUACCUACUCUUGACCUCCACGGAAUUUGGCAGAGAUGCCUUAGUGCCUUCGGAACCGUGAGACAGGUGCUGCAUGGCUGUCGUCAGCUCGUGUGUGAAUGUGGGAUAAGUCCCGCCACGAGCGCCACCCUUAAUCUUUGUGCCAGCGAU